rnacentral:rRNA from 1 species
GUGGGGAAUAUUGGACAAUGGGCGAAAGCCUGAUCCAGCCAUGCCGCGUGUGUGAAGAAGGUCUUCGGAUUGUAAAGCACUUUAAGUUGGGAGGAAGGGCAGUAAGUUAAUACCUUGCUGUUUUGACGUUACCGACAGAAUAAGCACCGGCUAACUUCGUGCCAGCAGCCGCGGUAAUACGAAGGGUGCAAGCGUUAAUCGGAAUUACUGGGCGUAAAGCGCGCGUAGGUGGUUUUGUAAGUUGGAGGUGAAAUCCCCGGGCUCAACCUGGGAACUGCCUCCAAAACUGCAUGACUAGAGUACGGUAGAGGGUAGUGGAAUUUCCUGUGUAGCGGUGAAAUGCGUAGAUAUAGGAAGGAACACCAGUGGCGAAGGCGACUACCUUGACUGAUACUGACACUGAGGUGCGAAAGCGUGGGGAGCAAACAGGAUUAGAAACCCUUGUAGUCC